CCAGGAACGCAGGUAGCAGCCCAGGAGAUCAAAGUACGGACUCUUCAGAGAUGGCAUCACCAAAUGACUUCAAAGUAAUGUCUAUGCCACAGGUGUUAAGGAGAAAAUUCAACAGUUCCCUUGAAAUUGGCGACGGCGACGAAUCCUUUGAUCGAAACUCCAUUUACCGAGGCUCUUUGACACAGAGGAACCCCAACGGGAAGA
rnacentral:lncRNA from 1 species